UACGGGGGGAGCAAGCGUUGUUCGGAUUCAUUGGGCGUAAAGGGUGCGUAGGUGGCGCGGUAAGUCGGGUGUGAAAUUUCGGAGCUUAACUCCGAAACUGCAUUCGAUACUGCCGUGCUUGAGGACUGGAGAGGAGACUGGAAUUUACGGUGUAGCAGUGAAAUGCGUAGAGAUCGUAAGGAAGACCAGUGGCGAAGGCGGGUCUCUGGACAGUUCCUGACACUGAGGCACGAAGGCCAGGGGAGCAAACGGG
rnacentral:rRNA from 1 species